GAGGAUUGCUUGAGCCUGGGAGGUGGAGGUUGCAGUGAGCUGAGAUCACGCAACUGCUCUCCAGCCUAGGC
ensembl:miRNA